rnacentral:rRNA from 1 species
AAACCUGAGGAACCCGAAAGAUCGAAUGGGAAGAUUCAGCGUCAGCGGCGUUAACUCGGCGGAUCGUGCGUCGUCUCGGACUUCGGUCUUGGGACGCGUAAUCUUUCCAUGCCUUGUUUAGCGUCGUCGUCGUGCACUUCUUCCCUAGUAGAACGUCGCGACCCGUUGGGUGCCGGUCUACGGUCCGAGAGGUAGACUGUCGCGUCGCUUCGGCGCACGCGGCAGACCCUCGGUCACCCGGCCGGCUGCCCGGCGGUCGAACUUAUAAGGUAUCUUGCCGCAAUUAUCGAACUGCGUCGGGCCCGUCGCAAGCGAGGCCAGUGUCUUACGGAGUUACGGACCUGGUGCCGUACCCGUGGCUGGCCAGCUGUUGGCAGGCGGAGUCCUUUGACGGGCAAUACACAAUGAUACCGGUCUGCGACGCUACUGCUUUGGGUACUCUCAGGACCCGUCUUGAAACACGGACCAAGGAGUCUAACAUGUGCGCGAGUCAUUGGGACUCUAAAACCUAAAGGCGCAAUGAAAGUGAAGGUCGUACUAAGGUCGACCGAGGGAGGAUGGGCCGCGUUUACGCGCGGCUCCGCACUCCCGGGGCGUCUCGUUCUCAUUGCGAGAAGAGGCGCACCCAGAGCGUACACGUUGGGACCCGAAAGAUGGUGAACUAUGCCUGGUCAGGACGAAGUCAGGGGAAACCCUGAUGGAGGUCCGUAGCGAUUCUGACGUGCAAAUCGAUCGUCGGAACUGGGUAUAGGGGCGAAAGACUAAUCGAACCAUCUAGUAGCUGGUUCCCUCCGAAGUUUCCCUCAGGAUAGCUGGCACUCGUUUGUUCUUAUUGAACGUAAACGAGUUUCAUCUGGUAAAGCGAAUGAUUAGAGGCCUUGGGGCCGAAACGACCUCAACCUAUUCUCAAACUUUAAAUGGACUUUAAAUGGGUGAGAUCUCUGGCUUUCUUGAACUAUGAAGCCACGAGAGAUUUUGGAUCAGAGUGCCAAGUGGGCCAAUUUU